UAAUACGAGGGGUGCUAGCGUUGUCCGGAAUCACUGGGCGUAAAGGGUCCGUAGGCGUUUUGCUAAGUUGAUUGUUAAAUCCAUCGGCUCAACCGAUGAUCUGCAAUCAAAACUGGUAGAAUAGAGUUCGAGAGAGGAAAGUAGAAUUCCUGGUGUAGCGGUGACAUGCGUAGAUAUCAGGAGGAACACCAAUGGCGAAGGCAGCUUUCUGGCUCGAUACUGACGCUGAGGGACGAAAGCGUGGGGAGCAAACAGGAUUAGAUACCCUGGUAGUCCACGCCGUAAACGAUGAGUACUUGAUGUCGGGGGAUUCGACCCCUUCGGUGUCGUAGCUAACGCGAUAAGUACUCCGCCUGGGGACUACGACCGCAAGGUUG
rnacentral:rRNA from 1 species